rnacentral:rRNA from 1 species
UCAGGAUGAACGCUGGCGGCGUGGAUAAGGCAUGCAAGUUGAACGGAACUAAUCAGAUGGAAGUAUCAAAUGAGUAGCAAUACAAGUGAGAUAUGGAAGCCUGACAGUUUAGUAGCAAACGAGGUAGUAAUAUUUAGGAACGCACCCCGAAGUCACGAAUAGCCCAUCGAAAGGUGGAGUAAUACGUGAUGGUACCGCAAGGUUAAAGAUUUAUCGCUUCGGGAGCGGCUUAAACAGUAUCAGCUAGUUGGUAAGGUAAUGGCUUACCAAGGCUAUGACGCUUAGGAGAGGUGAGAGCCUGACCUCCACCGAUGGGACUGAGACACGGCCCAUACACCUACGGGUGGCUGCAGUCGAGAAUCUUCCACAAUGGACGAAAGUCUGAUGGAGCGACGCCGCGUGAUCGAUGAAGUGCUUCGGUAUGUAAAGAUCUUUUAUGAGGGAAGAAGUUUAUUGACGGUACCUCAUGAAUAAGGACCUGCAAAACUCGUGCCAGCAGCAGCGGUAAUACGAGUGGUCCAAGCGUUAUCCGGAAUUAUUGGGCGUAAAGGAUGUGUAGGUGGUUGUGUUAGUCGAAUGUCUAACCUCUGUGCUCAACAUGGAGACAGCAUUCGAAACGGCACGACUAGAGUAUGUUAGGGGUAAGCGGAACUCAUAGUGUAGGGGUGAAAUCCGUUGAUAUUAUGGGGAACACCAAAAGCGAAGGCAGCACACUGGAACAUUACUGACACUGAGGCACGAAAGCGUGGGUAGCGAAUGGGAUUAGAUACCCCAGUAGUCCACGCCCUAAACGAUGUUCUCUCGCUAUGAAAAGUAUCGACCCUUUUCGUGGCUUAGCUAACGCGGUAAGAGAACCGCCUGGGAAGUACGAUCGCAAGAUUAAAACUCAAAGGAAUAGACGGGGAGACGCACAAGCAGUGGAUUAUGUGGUUUAAUUCGAUGGUAAACGAAGAACCUCACCAGGAUUUGAAACUCACGUGAAAGCCUAAGGAAACUAUGGCCCUCGCAAGACACGUGGACAGGUGAUGCAUGGCCGUCGUCAGUUCGUGGUUUGAACUGUUCCCUUCAGUGGGGUAACGAACGCAACCCUUAUCGCGUGUUACAAGUGUCACGCGAGACUGCCCCGUAACGUGUACUGGAGUUUGAUAGCAAUAUUAGAUUCGAGUGCACAUUACGGGGAGGAAGGAGAGGAUGACGCCAGGUCAGCAUGUCCCUUUGACAUCCU